rnacentral:rRNA from 1 species
GAUGAACGCUGGCGGCGUGCCUAAUACAUGCAAGUCGAGCGAAUGGAUUAAGAGCUUGCUCUUAUGAAGUUAGCGGCGGACGGGUGAGUAACACGUGGGUAACCUGCCCAUAAGACUGGGAUAACUCCGGGAAACCGGGGCUAAUACCGGAUAACAUUUUGAACCGCAUGGGUCGAAAUUGAAAGGCGGCUUCGGCUGUCACUUAUGGAUGGACCCGGGUCGCAUUAGCUAGUUGGUGAGGUAACGGCUCACCAAGGCAACGAUGCGUAGCCGACCUGAGAGGGUGAUCGGCCACACUGAGACUGAGACACGGCCCAGACUCCUACGGGAGGCAGCAGUAGGGAAUCUUCCGCAAUGGACGAAAGUCUGACGGAGCAACGCCGCGUGAGUGAUGAAGGCUUUCGGGUCGUAAAACUCUGUUGUUAGGGAAGAACAAGUGCUAGUUGAAUAAGCUGGCACCUUGACGGUACCUAACCAGAAAGCCACGGCUAACUACGUGCCAGCCGCCGCAGUAA